rnacentral:misc_RNA from 1 species
UCGACGUGUGUUGCAACGUAGGAUAGUUGUGGCCAUCAUGGCACCCGCUGCAGAGGCUCUCUCUCUCUCUCGACAGCAUCGCGCCGCUGCCGUGACCUACCAUGGAGCUCUGCCUCGCCGCGCGCGCCGGGACGAUGGCGGCCGCGUGCCGGAGGAUGGCACCGACGAUAGGCGUGCCGAAGAAGAGGCACGACGGUGGCACUGUGCGCGUACGUUGCGUGGUGACGACGCCCAUGGGGGAGAAGACGGAGUACCGGGACGGCCCGCUGGAGCGUGCGUUCAUGGGGCUGUUCGCGCGAAGAUGGAGAAGUACGCGGCGAAGAAGUCGGCGGCGCAGGCGAAGGAGAAGAGGGCGGUGUGGGAGUGGGACUACGAGAGCUUCGUGGACGUGUCGUGGCGGGUGAUGUUGGGGCGCGCGCGCGCAGCAGUAGGAUGCGGUGCGCGAGGUGCUGUUGUCCAUGCCGCGCCCCGGCGCGCCGGCACAGUUCCGGCGGCUGUUCCCGCCGACGCGGUGG